rnacentral:rRNA from 1 species
GACGAACGCUGGCGGCGUGCUUAACACAUGCAAGUCGAACGGAAAGGCCCUGCUUUUGUGGGGUGCUCGGGUGGCGAACGGGUGAGUAACCCGUGAGUAACCUGCCCUUCACUUUGGGAUAACUUCAUGCCACUGGAGCUAAUACCGGAUAGGAGCUCCUGCUGCAUGGUGGGGGUUGGAAAGUUUCGGCGGUUGGGGAUGGACUCGCGGAUUAUCGGCUCGUUGGUGGGGUAGUGGCUGACCAAGGCUUUGAGGGGUAGCCGGCCUGGGAGGGGGACAGGCCACGCUAGACUUGAGAUACGGCCCAGACCCGAAUCGUAGGCAAGGGGGGGGAGUUGUGAACUAGGGACGGGAGCCUGGUGCAGCCACGCCGCGGGGGGGAAGACGGCAAGGGGGUUGGAAACCGCAGUCGUCUUUGACGAAGCGAUAGUGACGGUAAUGGGUAAAGAAGCACCGGCUAACUACGUG